rnacentral:snRNA from 1 species
UUAUUUCCCGUGCCUUCUACCUCCUUCCCAGGGUGAGGCUCAUCCAUUGCACUGCGGGUGUGCUGACCCCUGCGAUUUCCCCAAAUGCGGGAAACUCGACUGCAUAAUUUGUUCUGC